UCCUUCGUAGCUCAGAGGUCAGAGCACUCGGCGCGCCGCCCUUCGGGGUACAGGAAAAGAGUUGUCGCGGGUUCGAAUCCCGCCGAGGGACCCA
rnacentral:tRNA from 1 species